AGCGAACGCUGGCGGCAGGCUUAACACAUGCAAGUCGAACGGGCACUUCGGUGUCAGUGGCAGACGGGUGAGUAACACGUGGGAACGUACCUUUUGGUUCGGAACAACUGAGGGAAACUUCAGCUAAUACCGGAUAAGCCCUUACGGGGAAAGAUUUAUCGCCGAAAGAUCGGCCCGCGUCUGAUUAGCUAGUUGGUAGGGUAAUGGCCUACCAAGGCGACGAUCAGUAGCUGGUCUGAGAGGAUGAUAAGCCACAUUGGGACUGAGACACGGCCCAAACUCCGACGGGAGGCAGCAGUGGGGAAUAUUGGACAAUGGGGGCAACCCUGAUCCAGCCAUGCCGCGUGAGUGAUGAAGGCCCUAGGGUUGUAAAGCUCUUUUGUGCGGGAAGAUAAUGACGGUACCGCAAGAAUAAGCCCCGGCUAACUUCGUGCCAGCCGCCGCAGUAA
rnacentral:rRNA from 1 species